AACGAACGCUGGCGGCAUGCCUAACACAUGCAAGUCGAACGUGAUCCGGGGCUUCGGCUCCGGUGAAAGUGGCGGACGGGUGAGUAACGCGUGGGAACCUGCCCAGUGGUAGGGGAUAACCGCGGGAAACUGCGGCUAAUACCCUAUGCGCCCUAUGGGGCAAAGAUUUAUCGCCAUUGGAGGGGCCCGCGUCGGAUUAGGUAGUUGGUGAGGUAACGGCUCACCAAGCCUUCGAUCCGUAGCUGGCUGAGAGGAUGAUCAGCCACACUGGGACUGAGACACGGCCCAGACUCCUACGGGAGGCAGCAGUGGGGAGUAUUGGACAAUGGGGCAACCCUGAUCCAGCAAUGCCGCGUGAGUGAUGAAGGCCUUAGGGUUGUAAAGCUCUUUCGGCGGGGAAGAUGAUGACGGUACCCGCAGAAGAAGCCCCGGCUAACUUCGUGCCAGCAG
rnacentral:rRNA from 1 species